GUCUACGGCCAUACCAACCUGAAUGCGCCCGAUCUCGUCUGAUCUCGGAAGCUAAGCAGGGUCAGGCCUGGUUAGUACUUGGAUGGGAGACCGCCUGGGAAUAUUUACCCAAAUGAAGUAAACA
rnacentral:rRNA from 1 species